CCUACGGGUGGCAGCAGUGGGGAAUAUUGGACAAUGGGCGAAAGCCUGAUCCAGCCAUGCCGCGUGUGUGAAGAAGGCCUUCGGGUUGUAAAGCACUUUCAGUGGGGAAGAAAGCCUUGGGGCUAAUACCCUCGAGGAAGGACAUCACCCACAGAAGAAGCACCGGCUAACUCCGUGCCAGCAGCCGCGGUAAUACGGAGGGUGCGAGCGUUAAUCGGAAUUACUGGGCGUAAAGCGCGCGUAGGCGGUCUGAUAAGCCGGUUGUGAAAGCCCCGGGCUCAACCUGGGAACGGCAUCCGGAACUGGCAGGCUAGAGUGCAGGAGAGGAAGGUAGAAUUCCCGGUGUAGCGGUGAAAUGCGUAGAGAUCGGGAGGAAUACCAGUGGCGAAGGCGGCCUUCUGGACUGACACUGACGCUGAGGUGCGAAAGCGUGGGUAGCAAACAGGAUUAGAUACCCCGGUAGUC
rnacentral:rRNA from 1 species